rnacentral:lncRNA from 1 species
CGGUGAUGGUGUGAGGCCGGUCGCAGCUGCUGACCAAGCAGCGUCACGACUUGCCGCUCAUGCAGUGGCAGCCGCUGGAUGGUGCGCCAGUGUCCCGAGGGGGUCGCUGGCUGCCUCCAGCGGCGCGGGUAGACUGCCGAUGGCGGAGGCGGAGGAGCUGCUUGCCGUUCUUGUUGCACGCCAUCCUGCUUGGUCUUCUUCUGGGAGCUGGACCCGCUGUAGCCCAAUCUGAUUCGCCUCCUCCUCCAUCUCCUGAUCCGCCAUCACCUCCUCCUCCAUCUCCUGAUCCGCCAUCACCUCCUCCUCCAUCUCCUAAUCCGCCAUCACCUCUUCCUCCAUCUCCUGAUCCGCCAUCACCUAGUCCACCAUCACCCGUACCUCCCAGCCCGCCA